UUGUAGACAUUGAAACAUAAUAACAGAGGUUUAAACCGAGGGAAUAACUUUCACAGAUACAAUAUAUUUCUUCAUUAAUGAAUAUACAAAUCCUUUGUAUAUUAAAGCAACAAUGGAACGAAAAUAUAUUAUAGUAUGUGUCUUGUUUGUUCUUUUUGGUACACCUGUCCAAGGCGGAAAAAAAGAAGGAUGGACUUCAGAUGAUGUUUGGUGUGCAACAAAGAAAUAUGGAGGUGGUGUAUUGUUGGGGGCAGGUACAGUAACUGUAGUACAACAUGUACUUUGGGGAAUUGGUUUUGGCCCGGCUGGUAUAGUAGCUGGGACAAUUGCAGCUACAGCUAUGGCAUUUUCAGCUGCUGCCAAUGGUGGAGGCGUAGUGGCCGGAGGAGUUAUUGCCACCCUUCAAUCUGCAGGAGCUGCUGGGUUAAGCAUAGGUUCAAAGGCUAUUAUCGGCGUCGCAUCAGGUGGGAUAUACAGCUAUUUAGUUGGAGACUGCUCGGAAAAUGACAUUGAAUGUAAAGAGAAAGAAAAAUGAUGUCCAAUGUCUUAAAUAUAAUGCUUUCAUUGAACCGAUGCUUUGAUAAAUUUAUUUUUAAAUCUCUCAAACACCUUUUUGUAAUUUGAAAAAAAAACUAUUGCCAACACUAGAAUUAGAAUAUUAUUUGUUGAUUUAUUGAACUUCAAAUAUACUAUCGUAAUACAUCAUUAUACUUACCGAUGAUUUUAUGUUUCUUACGAGUAUUCCUAUUUUAUAUUUGUAUAUAAAAGUCGUAUGUAAACAGUGAUAUACAUAUAUAUUC